ensembl:snoRNA
UGGGAGGCUGGUACACAAAUCAGACUGAAGAAUCGGUGGAGUGUCACCAUAUGGCCCGAGAAUAAACUGCCUUUUGAUGACCAGGACAAAUUGAGAGAAAUCAUAAGGGACAGAUACAGGGCAGAUAGUU